rnacentral:rRNA from 1 species
UAGGGAAUCUUCGGCAAUGGACGAAAGUCUGACCGAGCAACGCCGCGUGAGUGAAGAAGGUUUUCGGAUCGUAAAACUCUGUUGUUAGAGAAGAACAAGGACGUUAGUAACUGAACGUCCCCUGACGGUAUCUAACCAGAAAGCCACGGCUAACUACGUGCCAGCAGCCGCGGUAAUACGUAGGUGGCAAGCUUUGUCCGGAUUUAUUGGGCGUAAAGCGAGCGCAGGCGGUUUCUUAAGUCUGAUGUGAAAGCCCCCGGCUCAACCGGGGAGGGUCAUUGGAAACUGGGAGACUUGGGUGCAGAAGAGGAGAGUGGACUUCCAUGUGUAUCGGUGAAAUGCGUAGAUAUAUGGAGGAACACCAGUGGCGAAGGCGGCUCUCUGGUCUGUAACUGACGCUGAGGCUCGAAAGCGUGGGGAGCAAACAGG